rnacentral:misc_RNA from 1 species
GAUGAAGAACGUAGCGAAAUGCGAUACGUAAUGUGAAUUGCAGAAUUCAGUGAAUCAUCGAGUCUUUGAACGCACAUUGCGCCCCCUGGUAUUCCGGGGGGCAUGCCUGUCCGAGCGUCAUUGCUGCCCUCAAGCCCGGCUUGUGUGUUGGGUCUCGUCCCCCUUCCCGGGGGGACGGGCCCGAAAGGCAGCGGCGGCACCGUGUCCGGUCCUCGAGCGUAUGGGGCUUUGUCACCCGCUCUGUAGGCCCGGCCGGCGCUUGCCGAUCAACCAAAACUUUUUUCCAGGUUGACCUCGGAUCAGGUAGGGAUACGCGCUGAACUUAAGCAUAUCAAUAAGCGGAGCA